rnacentral:rRNA from 1 species
UACGUAGGUGGCAAGCGUUGUCCGGAAUUAUUGGGCGUAAAGCGCGCGCAGGCGGCCUCCUAAGUCCGAUGUGAAAGCCCACGGCUCAACCGUGGAGGGUCAUUGGAAACUGGGGGACUUGAGUGCAGGAGAGAAGAGUGGAAUUCCACGUGUAGCGGUGAAAUGCGUAGAGAUGUGGAGGAACACCAGUGGCGAAGGCGACUCUUUGGCCUGUAACUGACACUCAGGGACGAAAGCUAGGGGAGCGAAUGGG